rnacentral:rRNA from 1 species
GCAACGGAUAUCUCGGCUCACGCAUCGAUGAAGAACGUAGCAAAAUGCGAUACUUGGUGUGAAUUGCAGAAUCCCGUGAACCAUCGAGUUUUUGAACGCAAGUUGCGCCCAAAGCCAUCCGGUUGAGGGCACGCCUGCCUGGGCGUCACGCAUCACGUCGCU